UCGGCGGAGCGGGAUGGAGAGUGUGUACAUAACGGCCGCAUGUGAGGCAGGGCGGGCGUCCAGUGGCAGGGAAACUCGGGGACUCAGUCAGAGGAAGAUGGUCAUUGAUUGCACGUCUUAGGAAGUUCCUGGCGAAAUUCUGGGACACGGAGGUAAUCUCAUGGCACCUUUGAAGUAGAAAUCUGCAUAAAAUUGGCAGCAAAUUUCCCUGAGAAGAGAGCUCGCCACCUCUUGUGUAGUCUCUGCCGGCGCUUUGUUGCUGUGCCGCGCAUGCUAGACGAGAGGCAACAGUCACGGAAUCGCCUUAAUCUUCCCAACAGUACAGCCCGAAGUUUCUGUCUGAAAAGGCCGCCGGGCUCUGAGUUGACCGAAAUGACUUGCAAGGCGAAACGGAGGCUGUGCUGGCUGGUCGUCCUGGCCUUGUCACUCCUGUGGUGCUUCAAAAUGACACUUUAUUCAGGAUAUGCAAGUUAUCACAAAGGAAUGAUUAUCUCUGUAAGAGAACGCGAGCAGGAACAGGACGCCCUCAAGCAGCGACAAAGGCCUUUCACGACCUUGCCUUCUGUCCGCCGCAACCAAACAGACUUUAGUCCUGAAGUUCAUCUGGUGAGGCAAGCGUCCUCAGCCGCAGAUCAGCCAGAGCACAAACAGGUCAGCCCUGCGGAGGACGCCUGGAAGCUAGAGCAAGACAGAAGGAAGGCGGCAGUCAUGAGGGGGUGCGCCGGAUGGAGGGAAGCCGUGUCAGACUACACGCCUUCCUCUUGGCAGGAGAUGACGUCCCUCCUGGUGGACGACAAGCACAAGGCGAUCUACUGCUACGUGCCGAAGGCUGCCUGUACGAACUGGAAGCGGCUUUGGAUGAUCUGACGGGGUUGACGGAGGCAAAGGAACCGAUGGAAAUCUACAGCGGCGCCCCCCACCAAGUGCAUAACAAAAUGAGACUCGUGACCCAGAAGCUAACUAGAAGUCAAAUUCAAAAGAAGCUGGAGACCUACACCAAGAUGAUCGUCGUGCGCCACCCAUUCGAGCGACUCCUCUCAGCCUAUCUUGAUAAAUUUGUUGUAUCUGGCAACUCCUACUACAUGAAGAAUUUCGCACGCCCGA
rnacentral:misc_RNA from 1 species